AUGACGCAGCCAACUUGUAAUAAAAUAUUUGAUUAGCAUAUUGACAAAACAUAUUAAAUAAUAUGUGAUUUUGUUAAAAGUAUAAAGAUUUUCUUGUUGCAAAAUGUAAUAUUGAGUGCAAAUAAGCAUCUUUUUAACUGCUCUUCGUCUGCGCAAGUGACGACGAAUAAAAUUCCUUAUUAUUAUGUAGAAGUAGAAUAGAAUUUCCAAGACGCUGAGCACACUGAAGCCGAGACACAAACCGAACACGCCUCCAAGGUUGGCUGAAAAUAUAACACUUAUUAAAAUGUGUUAUAAAAAAAUAUACUUACCUUGACAAUUAAUAAAACGUAUAUAAGUAUGCAACAAA